rnacentral:rRNA from 1 species
GAGAGUUAAACAGUACGUGAAAUUGUUGAAAGGGAAACGAUUGAAGUCAGUCGUGCUGGCGCGAAAUCAGCUCGACCACUCGGGGAUCACGGGCCGUAGCGAGCCUCAAAACCGCUACGACUCGUGAUUUCUUAGUGGCCUGGUGCACUUUCGUGUCGGCUGGUUAACAUCAAUUUCGAUCGUCAUAAAAAGGCUGGAGGGAUGUGGCUCCUUCGGGAGUGUUAUAACCUUUAGCGGAAUGUGGUGGUCGGGAUUGAGGCUUGCAACGAAUACCUUCAGGGCUGUUCCACCUGGCCUCUCAUCGGAAUUCUGGCGGCGACAGCUUGCUGACGUUGUUAGGAUCGGCCUUCGAACAGGCUAGAGUGUGAGCAAAUUCGUUAAGGAUGUUAACGUAAUGGCUUUAAACGA